UGUCUGUUUAUUGUUUCCUCUUCUAAUAUUGUCUCUUCUGUGAAGAAACCUUUGGUUGUCCAACAGAAAUUACUGCUGGUUGUGCUGCCACUGCACUUUGAGGGAAAUGCAGUCCAAUGGCCAUCAGUUCCCAUGUUAUUCCCUACAUCAGGGUCCCGGGCUGGCCCUCACUCCCAGAAAAUACCAUGCCACUUAGUUCCUGGUCUAGAUCACCUCUCUUUGGCAAUGCCACUUCAUGAGAUUUUCUCUGCAACCCUGUGAACUAGAAACCAACUUUUGGCCUGAAGCUUUCUCAUGAUGCCUGGAACUGAGGCUUGAGAAGGCAGCAGUGUGUACAGUGAUCCUCCUCAAUCAUGAAAACUGGGGCCCAUGCCUGUUCUGAUGUAUAUGUUACUGCUGGACUCUUACUGUGGAAUGAAAUCCAGCCUGUUGAGGAUGCAGUCAGCUCUGGCAGCUGAUGUGGCCAGGAAUCAGAAGCUUCCCAGUGUAGUGUAAGUACCUGCCUUAACUUUCUCCAACAUUGUAGCCUGUAAAAGUUUUGGCCUACGAAGCAUGCUGGUUAUUCAUCCAAGGAACAUAUUCCCUUCUUUGCAAAACUGGAUGUAUACUAACGUCUUCUCAGCAUGCA